UACGGAGGGAGCUAGCGUUGUUCGGAAUUACUGGGCGUAAAGCGCACGUAGGCGGCUUUGUAAGUUAGAGGUGAAAGCCUGGAGCUCAACUCCAGAAUUGCCUUUAAGACUGCAUCGCUUGAAUCAUGGAGAGGCGGGUGGAAUUCCGAGUGAUAGAGGUGAAAGUUCGUAGAUAUUGGGAAGAACACCGGUGGCGAAGGCGGCUCACUGGCUCAAUUACUGACGCUCAGGCGCGACAGCGUGGGGAUCAAACAGGG
rnacentral:rRNA from 1 species